rnacentral:rRNA from 1 species
GUCCUACGGGGCGCAGCAGUGGGGAAUAUUGGGCAAUGGGCGCAAGCCUGACCCAGCAACGCCGCGUGAAGGAAGAAGGCUUUCGGGUUGUAAACUUCUUUUACGAGGGACGAAAGAAAUGACGGUAUCUCAUGAAUAAGCCACGGCUAACUACGUGCCAGCAGCCGCGGUAAUAUGUAGGUGGCAAGCGUUAUCCGGAUUUACUGGGUGUAAAGGGCGUGUAGGCGGGACUGCAAGUCGGAUGUGAAAAUUAUGGGCUCAACCCAUAACCUGCAUUUGAACUUUUAGUUCUUUAGUUAUGUAAG